ACAUGUGUUUUUUGAGCUGUCUGCCUGUUUUUGAAUCCUGUCUCUGCCUAAUGUUUCGGGCAUUGUUGCUUGUAACGGCCUGCCUUUUUGUGUAC